rnacentral:rRNA from 1 species
UGGGGAAUAUUGCACAAUGGGCGCAAGCCUGAUGCAGCCAUGUCGCGUGUAUGAAGAAGGCCUUCGGGUUGUAAAGUACUUUCAGCGGGGAGGAAGGGAGUAAAGUUAAUACCUUUGCUCAUUGACGUUACCCGCAGAAGAAGCACCGGCUAACUCCGUGCCAGCAGCCGCGGUAAUACGGAGGGUGCAAGCGUUAAUCGGAAUUACUGGGCGUAAAGCGCACGCAGGCGGUUUGUUAAGUCAGAUGUGAAAUCCUCGGGCUCAACCUGGGAACUGCAUCUGAUACUGGCAAGCUUGAGUCUCGUAGAGGGGGGUAGAAUUCCAGGUGUAGCGGUGAAAUGCGUAGAGAUCUGGAGGAAUACCGGUGGCGAAGGCGGCCCCCUGGACGAAGACUGACGCUCAGGUGCGAAAGCGUGGGGAGCAAACAGG